GACGAACGCUGGCGGCGUGCUUAACACAUGCAAGUCGAACGGAAAGACCCUGCUUUUGUGGGGUGCUCGAGUGGCGAACGGGUGAGUAACACGUGAGUAACCUGCCCUUGACUUUGGGAUAACUUCAGGAAACUGGGGCUAAUACCGGAUAGGAGCUCCUGCUGCAUGGUGGGGGUUGGAAAGUUUCGGCGGUUGGGGAUGGACUCGCGGCUUAUCAGCUUGUUGGUGGGGUAGUGGCUUACCAAGGCUUUGACGGGUAGCCGGCCUGAGAGGGUGACCGGCCACAUUGGGACUGAGAUACGGCCCAGACUCCUACGGGAGGCAGCAGUGGGGAAUUUUGCACAAUGGGCGGAAGCCUGAUGCAGCAACGCCGCGUGCGGGAUGACGGCCUUCGGGUUGUAAACCGCUUUCGCCUGUGACGAAGCGUGAGUGACGGUAAUGGGUAAAGAAGCACCGGCUAACUACGUG
rnacentral:rRNA from 1 species